rnacentral:tRNA from 1 species
GGGGUUGUGGCUCAGUGGUAGAGCACUCGUCUUGUACACGCGAGACCUUGGGUUCCAUCCUCAGCACCA